rfam:Bacillus sp. X1(2014), complete genome.
AGCCCUUUUAAAUGCAGUCCAGUGAGGCUGACAAAGGGGAAUUGAGCCGAUUGCAAUUUUAUCGGAUUUCCAUACCCUCUUUGUACCAUCAUGGACAAAAGAGGGUUUUUUAUU